rnacentral:rRNA from 1 species
AGAAUCAACGCUGGCGGCGUGCCUAACACAUGCAAGUCGCACGAGAAAGGGACUUCGGUCCUGAGUACAGUGGCGCACGGGUGAGUAACACGUGAAUAAUCUACCUCCGAGUGGGGAAUAACUGAGAGAAAUCUUAGCUAAUACCGCAUAACACUUACGAGUCAAAGCAGCAAUGCGCUUGGAGAGGAGUUCGCGGCAGAUUAGUUAGUUGGCGGGGUAAUUGCCCACCAAGACGAUGAUCUGUA